GACGAACGCUGGCGGCGUGCUUAACACAUGCAAGUCGAACGAAGAGCGAUGGAAGCUUGCUUCUAUCAAUCUUAGUGGCGAACGGGUGAGUAACGCGUAAUCAACCUGCCCUUCAGAGGGGGACAACAGUUGGAAACGACUGCUAAUACCGCAUACGAUCUAACCUCGGCAUCGAGGAAAGAUGAAAGGUGGCCUCUAUGUAUAAGCUAUCACUGAAGGAGGGGAUUGCGUCUGAUUAGCUAGUUGGAGGGGUAACGGCCCACCAAGGCGAUGAUCAGUAGCCGGUCUGAGAGGACGAACGGCCACAUUGGGACUGAGACACGGCCCAGACUCCUACGGGAGGCAGCAGUGGGGAAUCCUCCGCAAUGGACGAAAGUCUGACGGAGCAACGCCGCGUGAGUGAUGACGGCCUUCGGGUUGUAAAGCUCUGUUAAUCGGGACGAAAGGCCUUCUUGCGAAUAGUGAGAAGGAUUGACGGUACCGGAAUAGAAAGCCACGGCUAACUACGUG
rnacentral:rRNA from 1 species